rnacentral:rRNA from 1 species
UACAGAGGUCCCGAGCGUUGUUCGGAUUCACUGGGCGUAAAGGGUGCGUAGGUGGUGAGGAAAGUCGGAUGUGAAAUCUCCGGGCUUAACCCGGAAAUGGCAUUGGAAACUACCUUGCUAGAGGUUUUGAGGGGGGACUGGAAUUCUCGGUGUAGCAGUGAAAUGCGUAGAUAUCGAGAGGAACACCGGUGGCGAAGGCGAGUCCCUGGAAAACACCUGACACUGAGGCACGAAAGCGUGGGGAGCAAACAGG